UACGGGAGGCAGCAGUAAGGAAUUUUCGGCAAUGGACGAAAGUCUGACCGAGCAACGCCGCGUGAGUGAUGAAGGUCUUCGGAUCGUAAAGCUCUGUGGUAAAGGAAGAAUACCAUGUUUAGGAAAUGAUUCAUGGCUGACGGUACUUUACUAGAAAGUCACGGCUUACUACGUGCCAGCAGCCGCGGUAAU
rnacentral:rRNA from 1 species